CCAUGAGCAGUGCUUGAGUAUCAAUCUGGAACAUGUCUUGGGCCCUUGGCAAAAGAGAAGCAACAAUAAUGACAAAAAGAAGAAAGAAUAGAAAUAUUUUGAUAAUUGAUAUUUAUUUUCACAAAAUCAUUGAAGUAGUCACCAGAAGAAAAAAGUAGUGCUUUGCUGGACUUCCUUUCACUUAUUUUACAGUUUCUCUUUGCACAUGAGAUUCAGUAGACCGAUCCUUAAGGAGCGUGAACUUAUUUUUUACGAUUGAUAAACCCUCUGAAGAUUUAUACCACGCUGUCAUUGUUUCUCUGACCCAUCUGGUGACUGUGAUCAUAUUCAAACAUUAAAUGGGAGGAAAAUAAAUGUGCAUUCUUUCUGGGAUGGCACACACAUAUGUUCUCAGCCUGAAAGUCAGAUUCGGCUGAAGAAGACACACACCAAAAAAUGGAUCUGCUUAAAUGGGAAGAGGCUCAAAUCAGUUCCCAAGCAGCUGCUUUAUUUUGAGCAAAGCUGCAUGUAAUACUAGAUGGGAUUAAAUCUCUUUUUCUGAUGAGGAGCUGGCCAAAUGUUUCCUGGUUUCUAACUUAGGGAUGUCAAAGAGGAACAAAGAGGACCUUCCAAGAUAUCUUCUGCUGAAUAUGUCAUUCAAGAUUCUUCCUAGCCAGACCUUUGCUAAUUGGAGAUAAACGUCUCUAGGUAAAUUGUCUGAGAAUAAAUUACUUCAAUCGACAGAGAACUUGAUUCUUUAUUUAAGCAUGCUGGGGGCUUCAGGGCAAUUUUAUUCAUUUAUUCUUUUGAGUAAGGUGCUGAUAUUGGCCAUUUUUUUUCUUUCUUUCCUUUUUGUUCUUAAAGAUUGGCACCUGAGCUAACAACAGUUGCCAAUCUUCUUUCUUCUUUUUCUUUUUCCUUGCUUUUUCUCCCCAAAUCCCCCCAGUACAUAGUUUAUAUUUUAGUUGUGGGUCCUGCUAGUUGUGAUAUGUGGGAUGCCGCCUCAGCAUGGCCUAAUGAACGGUGCCAUGUCCACGACCAGGAUCCGAACCGGCGAAACCCUGGGCCACUGAAGCGGAGCAUGUGAACUUAACCCCUCGCCCACGGGGCCAGCCCCUGCUAUUUGCCAUUUUUAAUGGUAUGCCAAAAAAGAUUCUCCUUCUCUGUCUCUGACUGAAGGGACUAAUUAGCUGGAAGUAAAUUCUCUCAUUUUUGCACAAGAGGAUCACAAGAAUAUUCUGCUUUGAAAAGUAUAGAUUUGCCUAAUAAUUUCAUGUGAAAUUCCUGUGUGUUACUUAAGGAGCAAAUAGCCUUCAUGUCUCAUUUCAAAGAUAAGAAACCCAGCCAACAAGGUAUAAAAUAACUUUACCGGAUGGUAAAUUCUAGGUCUCUGAGACUAAGCCAGACUACGAGCCGGGGCAAGUUCUUAAAAACCACGUUUCCUUCCUUAGGUAUGUUUUAUGACUGUAGUUUUUUUUUUUUUUUUGACUGCUGUUUUGUUUAAAUCCCCUUUUUAGUGAAUCCAACUGGAAAUGACCUAGUAUUUCAUUUUAUUUUUGUAUUUGUCUUUGAUUUCAUGAGGUCAAAUUCACUUUCUACUUGUGAUCACGGAUUUUGAUUUGCGACGUUUUCUCGAAUUUCCUGAGGGUAAAAAAUGCUUGUGAGGGAGAAGAUGGUCUCCGUAACUGCGCGUGGGGAGGUGCUGACACAUGUGCUUCUUCAGGAGUCAGAAUGCCAGGUGUUCCUUUCGGCCUCGCCUGUCACUCUCCUCUCUGCUGGUUCUUGUAUUCACACAGCCUGUGCUGCCUUUGGAACUUGAAGGCCUUGCUCCAAGCCAGCCUGCCAGAGUUUGAGAACAGUCACAUGCAAAGUUCUGGAAAUUGACCAUUAAUCAAAUGAGAGAAAAAAUAUGAAAAACAACUUCAUCAUUCUGUCAAAUGUCAAGUCACUGACGUGCAUCUGUGGAGCCCUUGAAAUAAACUAUCUCCUGACAAUAUUUUCAAAACGUGGCCUUUGUGAACCACCUGCAUUAAAAUCAUUUCCAGUGUAUGGGUGGAGGGGGCACACAGGGGACAAAACAGUGGUAUUAAAAAUGCAGAUUCCUUUUCCCCACCCCAGAGGUAACGAGUACACCAGAGUCUUUGAGGCAGGGCCUGGGAAUCUGCAUUUUCCAGGGUGAUUCUUGUGCAUUGUGAUGUCUUAAAAACAGCUGUUUUAAGAAGUAAGUCAUCUUACUCAAGAAAAUUUUAUCUUGGAUUGAAAAUCAAAAGGGUGGUGAGAAAUGAAGGGCACAUUCUAAGACAUUCCUUGGCCACUGCAACAAUACUUUUUUCCCAGCUUUAUUGAAGUAUGAUCGACAUAUAACAUUGUGUAAGGUUACGAUGUACAAUGUGAUGAUUUGUUACGUGUAUAUAUUAUGAAAUGAUUGCCACAAUAGAGUUAGUUAACACCUCAUCAUCUCAC
rnacentral:lncRNA from 1 species